UGUCAGAGCACGGCAAUCAAAGUUACAAGGGCUAAGACAAAAGGCAAGGUCAAGAAAAACAGGCACAGUCAGCAACGAGGAACUAGGGCUCGUAACUUGGAACACAGAUGCGUGAGCUGGAACGGAGAAAGUAACAUCAACGAUCAAGCAAGUGAAAAGAAAACUAGCAGGGCUUAAAUACACAGUGGUUUAAUUAGGAUGUGAUUUGAAACAGGUGUGGUGAGCUGGCAGGAGGAGGGCCUGGACAAAGAAAGAUGAGACACUAUGAGACAAGAAAGUGCAGUGACAAGUGGGUGAGGAGAUGACAGAGAAAACGGGGUGCAGGACAAGAAAGUGCAGUGAUUAGAGGGAGACGUUGAUACAAAUGAAACUGGACAUGAAUACAUGAGAACAGAGAUGGGGAGUGUAGAUGAGGGAGUGCAGAGACAACAUGGACAUGACUAAUAACCAAAAACUAACAAUACUAAAGUAACAAGACAGAAAAGAACUAAUGGACAAAGGAUGCAUGGACUCUUUACAAGAAAAGAUGAAUACUUGACCACAGGUACAAACACAG